UUGAUGGUGGGUACCCGAGUUUUCAACUUCAAAUUCUAGUGAUUUAUAUUUUUAGUUAAAUUUUUUUAUUAAAUUUUAAUUAUAGGAGUAAUAUCAUUAUUUUCUAUUUAUAACUACCAACUAUUCUAUCUUAUACUUACAUUUUUAUUCAAACAUAAUUUUUCUAAUUCCAGCUUAUACUUACAUUUUCAUCCAAAUAAAAAAAUACUCUUAUUCUUAUGAAAAUUUAUACUUGUACCUAUUCCGGGUAUAACUAGUUCUUAUCCCUGGUAUAACUAGUUCUUACUUAUAUCCGAGCCAAACGAAGCCUAAAGUAAGUGGCAAAGAAAUUGAUGGUGGGUACCCGAGUUUUCAACUUCAAAUUCUAGUUGAUUUAUAUUUUUAAUUAAAUUUAUUUUUAAAUAAAAUAAACGAAAUGAAUAGUGUACUAUCUAUCUCUCUAAAAAAAUAAAAAAAAAAAUUUGUUUAU
rnacentral:lncRNA from 1 species